GCUUUUCGCUCAGCCUUGAUUUUGUUGCACUGAGGGUAACUUUUAAAACUAAAUUUGCUCUCUCACUUUUUUCUUCCACUUUCCUGAGAAGUAUUUUGAUCAUUUUGUGCAUGUUCCUCAACAAGAUUUUGCAACAAACCUGCCAAUAAAUCCGAGAUCGACCGGCAGUUAGGGAACCGGUGUGAAGGUCGAAGCUUUUGGUUUGCAGGUCCCAACCCUCAUUUGCCGUCAUGAGCUCUGGAAAGCAACCAGAAGAUUGAGAUCACAGACUCAAGCAGCCGAGAGGAGGCUCAGAGUAGAUCCGCCGCUCCUUCACCCUGAGAGGAGUCAGCUGAGGUGCUUCGGCAAUCGAUAAUGUCCCUCCAUGAUGCCUCCCUUCAGAAGCUUUCAGAGCAUGUCUAGCUCGGAGGAGGCCUCGGGGUAGACCAGAGCUCGCUGGAGGGAUUAUAUAUCCCAUCUGGUCUGGGAACGGUUUAGGAAUCCCCGGUCGGAGUGAGAAAACAUUGCUAAGGAGAGGGAUGUCUGGGUCAGUUUGUUCAGACGUACGCCUUCGCUUUGGAGAGGCAGAAGAAAAUGGACGGAUGGGACUGUUUCAUGAUUGGUGGAAAGUUCUCAGUAUGGAGGUAAAACUUCUCUCUCACUGUUUUGCAAUGUGGCUUAUUUGCAUAGAGGGGUGCAUACUUCACCCCAAUUAAUGCUUAAUAGCUUAUCAAAACGUAAACAAACAACACCUGCAAACAUUGAAGCUAUUUGCUCUGCAGCGCAGCUUGGUGAUGAUUGCUGAUUCAGACUGUCUGUUUGGUUCAUUUAUGCCGGUUAGUAAGCACAGGCUUUAGGUUUUUGACUAUGUUGUGCUUUUUAUGUAUUAAUAUUAUUGCAUUUUUGAGUGAGAGCAAGUUGGCUGACUGCCGACUUCUUCUCUAACAGAGACAUCACUCAGCAGAAUGUAAGCUCGAGAAGUGCUGUCCGACCUGAAAGCACUGAUUUGUUGCUUUCGUAAGACUCUUCCUCAUGUGUCCAAUCUAUUCCCCCACGAUCCUAAAGCCCAAAUAGAGAAUUUCAGGAUGCAAUAGGAAAUGAAAAAGUUCUUUUUGCUUUGGUUAGCCGUGCCAUCCAGCCGGCAUGUUCCAAAGGCUCUUUUUAAUUUGGUUUCCAGCUGGUUUACUUUGAGAGAUUGCCUGCACUUGCCUUCAUGUCAUGCUUCUUUGCCUCUAAUCAUUUCACAUAAGCAAUGAAUCAUCUGUGUGUCCUCUAAACCAAGACAGCUUCUGCCCCCACAAGGUAAUAUCUUAUUCUGGUUCCCGGCAAGGUUUACAAACACGCCGCCAGGGCAAUGUCUCACGGCCUCAAUGUCAGGAAAUAGUCUGAACCGGGAAAUUAUUAUGCUAGCAAUAUGGGUUCCCCUGGACUCAACCUCUGCUGGAAAAUGUGAGCUCAUCUGAAAGAAAGUAUGAUUUCAGCAGGGUCAGCUCGGUGCCACUCAGACUCACCUGCUGAGUAAACUCUCAAGGCUACAAGUAAGUACAGAGUGGAGAGGCUAAGAAGCACAUAUUGAAUGUGACUGAAGUGUGUUUACUUCUCUGUUUCUGUGGAAAUACCUGACUUUGUUUUGUGGGGAGUGGACAUGUGGAAACUUGUAAAGCAGGGCGGUUUAUUCACCUGUCCCCUCGCACCGCUUUCAGGCAUUCAAAUUUACAAUAUAAAAAUCUAUCCGAUCAAUCUGUCCCCUCCUCUGUGUGAUCAGUCCUGAUCAGUUUUACCUGUGUCUUCUUUGUCCCACCUGUGUUUGAUUAGACCUCUAAUAAGCCGGUGUUUCCUCCCCUUCUGUCUCAGUUUCUGUCUCAGCUGUAGUCCUCUUUUUUUUUUCCUUUUUUUUGUUUCUCCAGUGUUUUGGGAUUUUGAGUUUAAUCUAGUCGGACAUCAUAACCUUUAAAGAGCAAGUUUAUCGUUAACACCAGCACUUUAGGUAAGCGCUGAAGCAGCAGAUGCUCCUACAGUCUCUGAGCACCAACUCCCCUCUGCAGUAGGUGAGUUAAAGUCCUGUAGAUGGUGUUGAGGGACAAUCAUUUUUUCCAAAAAUAUGUCAUCCAAUGAUUGGGCUAAAGUCCAGAUUAAAGGUGGAGUAGUCAGGAUCUGAGGAAGUUCCAGUUUUGGGGAGCAAUCUUGAAUGUAAACUAUACCCCUCCCAACCCUCAGCUCCUCCUCUCCCCUCAAGCCCCGCCCAUAAACAGACGCUCCUGCUCACUCGUAUCGUUUCAAUUAAAUUCAGAUAUAAUGCAGAUAAUUACUUCAGAUAAUUACAAAUGGGGCCCAGUCAACGUGAAAGUAAAAAAUAUUGGUGCUACUGUAGAUGCCAACAGACUACCAGCAAACACAAUGUUUGCAGGACUUCUACAACUAGGAUAAAGUGACAUAGUCCAGGACCCGAGGGAGGACAGUUUAGCGAUGGCGCUACAACACGCUACAGCAGGUCCGUUUGACAAGAAACACUUCUGUUACAGACACUUGUCUUACUUUGUUAAAGCGGUUUACCUGUCCAGCAGAAAGGUUAGGGGGUCACCAAGAUCCCCAAGCGUCCCCCAUCGUUUAUGUUGACCCGGUUUUUUAGCUCUUGUCCGGUCUACCUCAGUUUUAAGCGCCAGUUAUUCCUCCAGUGUCUCCGGUAUUUACUUUGUUUUCUUGCUUGUGUCGGCAGUCGUGGCCAAAGGAGGAUUCAGACAAUUUUCCGAACUUUCUGGUUGGUUUCUACUGUCCGAUAUUGUAGCACGCUAACUUUGUUUGGUCUCCUGAACGACACGGGGGAGCAGCGUCUGCCUCAUAACCAAUCAGGAUGGGGGAGGUGGAGAACGGCUUUGUUUACAGUCAGAAAGAGCGGACCGCUCUGAAAUUUUAAAAUGUUGACUACACAGACAUAAGAGAACACAGCGAUAUCGUGAUAUUCCCAAAUGUCAUCAAUAACUAACAGCUAUUGACUGAUACUGAAAGCUUUUUUGUAUAAACACCACAAAAAAAAGAUGCUUCUUGAAUGGAUUCCUGCUGACCCCACCUUUAACUUAAAGUCCAUUUACCUCCAAAUCCCUCCCAUCAAAGAUGCAGAUUAGGAGAUGAAGAUGGAGGAGUCAUCAUCAAACCUGCUGACUACUAAACUGGAACUAACUAGCUUCACAGGUCUGCAGGAUUUCCAGGUAAGGCCAAUGACCAAGGACAGAGCAGGCUGCAGUUUGGGAUUCAGGACCUGGACUAGAAGCACUGAUUCAUACGGAUAAUUACAGAUGAAACUCAUUUCCUCACAGUUGAUUUCCUCAGACUAUCAUCACUCUCUUCACUCUUCUCUUCUUCUUCCUCAGCUUUUGUUCCUGCUGACUACCAAACUGAAACCAAUUACUCUGAGUGUAGCUGACAGCUAGUCGGUGCUACAAUGUGGUGAAUUCAUGGUUCACGUCCCCAGCAAAAGGUCUAAAAGGUAAGCACAUGCAUGCAGAUGUGAAAGAAGGAGAGAUAUGAAACUGUUAUCUUGAUUUUUACUAAGAUAGAAGCCGCCUGAUUGCUUGAUUUGCAUCCCAUUAUAUAAACAGUGUUGUGAUUUCUUAAUUACCGAUGUAAGAACAGGGAUCCUGCGAGCUAACGCCACAUUUCUCUUUUGCGCACAAAGUAGAGACAGCCAGAUCUGUAAAAACUAAACACUUGUGUGAAUGCCAUUAUUCUAAUUUUAAAGUUUGGCCCAGCCGUGUGUUCGCUUUGCAUGCUCAUUUGGACGAGCCGAAAAUCUGUCUUGGCUCGGGUACAGUACGAGUUUUGUCCGACUGCUUGUCCAAAAACAGAAUCUCUUGAUAUUCCGAUUUAAAUGUAUAGUGAGAGUCGAUUUAUUUCACAUAUAAAAGUGUAAAAAACUCAGCCUUUUGAGGGUUUAAAUUCAGUACUUUGUAUGUUUACAGAGCCUUGAGGCUGUGAUCAUCUCGCAUACACAAAAGUCCCAAUAAGUCUCUGAAUCCAUGCCUCUGAUCUGUGUGAGGAAGCAAAGCAUGAGUGACAGUUUAAUACCCAAAGAGUGCAUUCUGGGUGAAUGAUCAUUUGAAGUUUGCUUUAUGGAUUAAAGAUGGGGAUUAAAGUUAGUGUGCGCCACAUGUAGAGUGUAAUUGUGCGUGUGUGUGUGCGUACGAAAGCAGCAGACAAACGCCGCCGCGGCAGGUGAAAGGGAAGGUUAGUCUGCAUCAAAGGUUUCAUUUUCCCUCAGAUUGGAUGACACGGGGACAGUGAGUGAUGGGCUGGUGGAGGGUGGGAGGGGUGCGGGUGAGACGUGUGUGACAGGGAGCUGGAGGCGGGUUGGAUAGACAAGGACACCACAUCCGUCUAACAAGCAGGGGACCCUCAUUCAUUCUCAUUGUGAUACUGUUUUUACGCCUGGGCUGCAGCCAAGAGGAAGAGGUGACUUCAUUAUUCAGACAGCUGCAGGUCGAGGCAGAGGAGGGGCCGCAUGAGGGGCAGAGGGGGGCUGCUAUGUGGCUUUGCUUUCAACAGCAUCUGAUUGAAGUGUUGCAAAAGGCAGUAUUUCCAUUGUGGAGCCAAACUCAUGCUAAUACUCGGACCCAGAGGAAUAAAAACUGUGCGCACAUAUAUUCAUAACAGCGAGGGAGCCAAGAGAGGAAAUGCAGGUUUGUUUAUCCGCAGAGGAACUGUCGGCAAUUACUGUUGUGUCAGAAAGCACAAAGAUCUGGACAGAUAGCGAGAUAAAAAAGCGAAUACGCCAAAGUUUUAACGAGGUAAGUUUGAGGAAAAACAAACGCGGCGUUAAUUGUUUAUGGUAUCAGACAGAAAAGUAGAACCUUCUUCUAAAAAUGUGUGAAAUGCAGAUCAUCUUUGGUGGCGAAACACAAAUAAAUCAAUCAAAGGACAGAAAAAGCGGGAAACGAAUCUUUAAUUUUGGACCUAAUGGAAUCAAAAUGACCUUUUUCGCUGCAUUAACUCAAAUCCAUCAACAUGCCUUAUUAUAAUAAACCUCGAUUUCCCUCAGCUCUGGAUAACAGCCAAACUUUAUGGGUGUGCGAGGGGGUCAUUUCUGCACAAAUUAAUGUCACACACAGUUUACAAGCCUUCCUCCCGAUAAAAAUGAUUAUUCCUCUUGAUAAUAUUUCACAGCCUGAGACCGGCGUUCAUUCUCAUCCCGUUAUAUUUUUGCACUUUUUAUUGCGUGCAAUUUACACACGCAUAAAAGACGGAAGCAAAGUGCACUCAGAUUAAACUAUAUUUUCAAAGUGCCCUGCAGUGAUGGGACAGGGUUUAAGUUUAGAGAGGCACACGUACUUAUGACCUUGAAAGAGUCAUAAACAUCCACCUGUGAUAUGACGCCCCUGCUAAAAUGGUCAUACCUCAAAUUCUGGCCAUAAUAACCUUCAGAUUAUCAACACUGCUGUCAUUAAAAUCGAGAAAACAGUGACCACUUCUCAGUCUGUGCCAUCAUUGAAGCUAGAAGACUUCACCGAGCUUUAACCAAGUUAUUAUUUCUCAAUCCUCUUGUAGUUGUGUCAACUUCUCUGUUCAACAUAAAUUUAACCAUCAAUCUGUGCGUCUUAGUUCUCUACGAUGAUGCUCUCCUCAGUCCUCCAGUGAACCUGAAGCAGUUAUGGACCCAUCAUGUUCAGGAUUGAUAACCAAAGAUGCAGGAGAUCAGCCUCUGCAGAAGUCUUUUGACUGAAAGACACGCCCCCUUUUCAUUCAUCCCUCACUGAUUGGACGCUGCAGCAUCUGGAGACACAACAACUGCACAUUUUACCUGUAAAAUGGUCCAUAUGGUCUAAAGUAGGACACAGAAUAAACAGACUGCAGGUUGUUUUCAUGUGCAGGUGUGUGCAGACACAAACAGCUGUCAAAGCUGACUGACAGCUGAUCCAGCGCCGAUCAGCUGAUGCAGUCAUCAAAAGACAUCACUUUGUGAGGCUCCAGAAAAAAGGACGUCUCAUGUCACUUUCUCCAUCCAUCUCUUCUCUCUUAAUUUUCAUGCAUCUCUGGUGGGAGGGACUCCGACUCCAGGAGGAGAUGCAAGUAAAGGAUGCAUGGAUGCAGUUUAAGGAAGGUUAUAAGUAGGGCUGCACGAUUAAGCGGUUUUAAAUCGUAAUCCGAUUAUUUAAUUAUGACGAUGUUAAAAAAAUUUAAAUCCUCAAAUCAGUUUUCCUUUCGAUCAUGUCUCACACCUCCAGGCCACCGUAGGCUCCCCCUGAUGCGGGAGCGCUCCUCAGUUCCCAGUGUAAACAAACAUGGCGGUUGCAAAAGAAAGCGAUAAUUUUGUGGCUAAAUAGGACAAGAGCAAGUCAGUCGGGUGGAAUUGGUACGACUUCACAGUUUCGGAUAAAGAGUAAACCACGCGCCGCUGCAAGGUGGUAUCAACCCGUCCACAUGAAGACAAAUUCAGGAGUAAACACUAAAGUUUUUGUCGUAUCAGCAUUUCAUCCACAUGGAAAUGGCGUUUCGGGUGACUGUAAACGGUGCUUUUUGAAAACGGGUCAGAGAGAGCAUAAAUCCGUAUAUGACGACCAUUUUAUCUCCGCAUGGAUGUCUAUCUGCAUCUCUUGAAACGAUCAUGUGACUCACAGCGAAACUUUCAUGGCGCCUGCGUGUGUCUGACCAAAACAACCUUUAUAAACGCGCUCUGUACUCUUCUUCUGUCUUUUGUGCAUUUCCUCGGCAGCGUUACAGCGCCACUUACCGGCUUGGCGUUAGCACUACAUCGUUUUCAGUGGUUUCGUUUUGAGAAACGAUAGAAAAAAUUAAUUUUAAAGUGAAGUUUGGUGAAGUUGUCAUCAAAUAAGAAAUUGAAAAUUGAGUUUUCAGAGAAAAAAAAUCUGGAUUCUACUUUUGGCCAAAAUCAUGCAGCCCUUCUGUUAUUGCAGAAUUUAAUGUACAAGAUGCACUUUGAGUACUUUUAUUUUUGAUCAUCUAAAUGGUGGGCUGCAACCUGUACACUCGUGUUAUCUGUUUAUCAGUAAGAAAUAUGGAGAAAGGUGUUUCGUUUUGGAAUUUGGGAAUUUUACCCAGAGGAUUGUGCUCAAUUUUAAUCACGAGGAGAGUUAGGUAAGCUGUUCAUCUUUGUUUCCUCCAAGUUUUACCAAUCAAAUCUCUUCACUUCAUUGUCAGUCGCUUUCCAUCAUUAAAGCUCUCAUAAAACAAGAAAAAAGUACGCCUUGUUAAAAUAAGUCCUGUUCCCCAAGCUCUUAUUUCAAACUCUUGGCCUUUGCAGUAGUUUUUUUUUCUGGACCCAAAGUGGUACUUUUUUAUUUUUGCCAUCAUUAAAUGUUAUUAUGUAGUGAAAAAAGGGGGGGAGGUUUUACUAGCCUGUAAUUAUGUUAAUCUUGCAAGUACACAAAAACCAGAGUACAGCUGAGCAUGCCAAAAAAACAAAUAUAAUGAUGAGGAGAAAAACGACGCUCAUAUAUCGAUGUUUUGGUUUGACAGCGUCUGAUGAUCAGAGGUCGUAUGAGGCAACAGCUCAUGGCAGAUGAAGACAAAGAGUGUGGAGUGAUGGAGUGUGUUUUCACUUGAUGAUCCUUGAAUAUAAUAAAUUAUUCAGUGGAAGUGUGGAGCAGAUGUACCUGUGAGAGAGAAAACCGUGAGGGGUGAAAGAGCGAAAACAAUCUGAGAGCUCGGCGCCGGAGCAGCUUCCUGAAAAUAGUCCUGCUUUGGGCACCUCAUCAGCCGGAUCCGCCGUCAGACGGUCCAAACUUCGUGAAGACGUUGAAACCCACGCUGCUCAGAGCUUUUAACAAGAAGCUCACUAUUGACGGCUAAUGGAGAGGUCAAACACCUCGCAGGGCAGUUUAUCUGUUUUUCUUCAUGCCUUUCUCUUUAGGUGCACGGUGCAAUUUCCUAAUCAACAAUAAUUGUUCCACCCUGUCGAUACCGUAGACGGGGCGAUGGAGAUUUCAGGCGGUUAUGAUGUACGGGGCUGAUGGGAUGAGCGAGUGAAAAGCGCGGGUACGUGCCUGAACAGCUUGUGGAUCUUAUAAUGAGAUCUCCAGAGAAGAGCUGCACUGUAGCUCCAAGACACAAUUAGGCCCAGCGCUGCUCUGCCUCCAAGACAGAGCUCUAUAGGCAGCUCAGAGGUGGUAAAGGAGCGAGUGUGUGCAUGCAUCUGUGUGUGUGCGUAGAAAUUGAAGUUAUACCAUAAAUAUUUGACGGUUGCGUGGCGUACCUGUUGCAAAUAGCUAAAACUUUUCUCCUCUAAAUGGACCAUAAGAGAUCAGUUUGAUAUUCAUCUGUGACUUUAUCCUCCUUUAGUCUGAUUGCACCAUCCCUGCAGACAAAGAUCCAGACAGGUUUAGAAAUCCUGCAAAAAGCUAAAACCCUCCAAAAGAUCUCUGGUCAGGUCCGGUUAAUACGUUCGAAAAAAAGCGCUCCAGGGGUCAAAAUAACUGCUGCAAACCAAUAAAGUUUGCAUUUGCCUUUGGGCUGUGAUUGGAAAACGAAUAAAAAAGCAAGUUUGAUUUGUUUCGUGGGAUUACAUUUAAUAAGACGGAGCACAAAAAGUUGUCUGCACGGAAAAUAAUCGAACCCGAGGAGGACUCUGCAGCUUGUAAAAUGGAUGUUCUUCAAACAUGAAGUUUCUCCAGCUUUUAAUAGGUCUAUAAAUAGAGCCAAAGUGAAGUCCAGGGUCAACCAACCACAAAAUACUCUCUGACCUGUCCGAGACCAGGAGAAGUUACAUCAGCAUUAAUAGAACUUGGCUUCCUCUGCACAGAACCUUGGCAUGCAAGUCUGAUGUGCUAGGAGGUUUUAUUCCCUCACAACUCUGUGCUGCGAAGUUCGAAGCAUCUGCUCGAAUUAUUAAUAAGUCUCCUGUACGAUCGGUUACUCUUCCCUGAUGCAAACAUCAACACCAACA